GCUCAUUAUUAAAUGUUUUGAACUAGAAAAAUUGGAUAUCCAACUUUCUCUCCCUCUCUCUGAUCCUUUCUUCUUCCUUUCCUUUUUUCUUUCAUCUCUCCCUCUCUCCCUUCCUUCUUCCUCCCUUCCUGCUUUUCUUCCUUCCCUCCUUCCUUCCUUUCUCUUUAUUUCUUUUUAUUAAUGGAUUGGUUCAGAUUUGCAGUUAUAUCAUCUUGGUAUCCUUUGCUUUGCAGCCUCAACUUUAUGGAUCACCCAGCUGUGGUUCAAUGCUUUCUUGGCAGGUCAAACAUUCCUAUGUCUGAUAAGGACAGAAGAGAACAGCCUGACUUUUGCUUAUCCACAAAACUAGUUGAAGGAAGGGGUAGAGUUGAGUUCUAUUGCCACUCAUAGGUGAGUCUCUACAGCUCUCCCCACAUGAUGGUAAAUUGGGGCAAGAAUACCAAGUGAUUGUUAUUUUAUUGUACUUUCACCUCAUUAGGGUUUAUGUUGUCCUACACCUUUUUCUUUAUCAAAUAAUUUUUAUUUUCAGUAGGCUUGAGAGCUAGUGAGGAAAAGAAAAAAUGUUUACCCUUUACCUUAUAGUUAUAUGACUAAGAAUUUGUCUGGUGAUUUCUUUAACAUUUAAAAAUAAAAGUAAGAUAAAGGCCA
rnacentral:lncRNA from 1 species